rnacentral:rRNA from 1 species
UACGUAGGGUGCGAGCGUUAAUCGGAAUUACUGGGCGUAAAGCGUGCGCAGGCGGUUUGUUAAGACAGAUGUGAAAUCCCCGGGCUUAACCUGGGAACUGCAUUUGUGACUGGCAAGCUAGAGUAUGGCAGAGGGGGGUAGAAUUCCACGUGUAGCAGUGAAAUGCGUAGAGAUGUGGAGGAAUACCGAUGGCGAAGGCAGCCCCCUGGGCCAAUACUGACGCUCAUGCACGAAAGCGUGGGG